rnacentral:rRNA from 1 species
GAACCGGAGCUAAUACCGGAUAAUAUGUUGAACCGCAUGGUUCAAUAGUGAAAGAUGGUUUUGCUAUCACUUAUAGAUGGACCCGCGCCGUAUUAGCUAGUUGGUGAGGUAAUGGCUCACCAAGGCAACGAUACGUAGCCGACCUGAGAGGGUGAUCAGCCACACUGGAACUGAGACACGGUCCAG